rnacentral:rRNA from 1 species
CAUCGCCUGACGUUCCAUGUUAGGUACCGCCUGCCCAAUGAUUUUCAAUGGCCGCAGUAUUUUGACUGUGCAAAGGUAGCAUAAUCACUUGUCUUUUAAUUGAAGGCUUGUAUGAAUGGCGUCACGGGAAAUAAGCUGUCCCUAUAUUAAUGUCUUAAUUUAAUCUGUAAGUCAAAAAGCUUACAUAUUUACGCAGGACGAGAAGACCCCAUAGAUCUUUAUAAAAUAUAAUUUAAUUGAAAUAGAAGUAAAAUAAAUUAAUUUUAUUACCUUAUUAGGUUGGGGCGACUAGGAAUAAAUUAACAUUCCUACAUUAAACUUUGAUAAAAGGUUCCAUGACCCGAUAGUCGAUCAAAAAAUUAAGUUACCUUGGGGAUAACAGCGUAAUCUAAAUUUAGAGUCCUUAUCAAAAUUUAGGGUUGCGACCUCGAUGUUGGAUUAAGAUUCAAUUAAAGCGCAGCUGCUUUAUGUUGGGGUCUGUUCGACCUUUAAAUUCUUACAUGAUCU